GCUUGUCUCAAAGAUUAAGCCAUGCAUGUCUAAGUAUAAACGAUUAUACAGUGAAACUGCGAAUGGCUCAUUAUAUCAGUUAUAAUUUAUUUGAUAGUACCUUACUACUUGGAUAACUGUGGUAAUUCUAGAGCUAAUACAUGCAAAAAAACCCGACUUCUGGAAGGGUUGUAUUUAUUAGACUUAAGCCAAUAUUCCUUGUGUCUAUUGCGAUGAUUCAUAAUAACUGAUCGAAUCUCAAAUUUGAGAUAAAUCAUUCAAGUUUCUGCCCUAUCAGCUUUCGAUGGUAGUGUAUUGGACUACCAUGGCAGUAACGGGUAACGAAGAAUUAGGGUUCGAUUUCGGAGAGGGAGCAUGAGAAACGGCUACCACAUCUAAGGAAGGCAGCAGG
rnacentral:rRNA from 1 species